AGUGAACGCUGGCGGUAGGCCUAACACAUGCAAGUCGAACGGCAGCACAGUAAGAGCUUGCUCUUACGGGUGGCGAGUGGCGGACGGGUGAGGAAUACAUCGGAAUCUACUUUUUCGUGGGGGAUAACGUAGGGAAACUUACGCUAAUACCGCAUACGACCUACGGGUGAAAGCAGGGGAUCUUCGGACCUUGCGCGAUUGAAUGAGCCGAUGUCGGAUUAGCUAGUUGGCGGGGUAAAGGCCCACCAAGGCGACGAUCCGUAGCUGGUCUGAGAGGAUGAUCAGCCACACUGGAACUGAGACACGGUCCAGACUCCUACGGGAGGCAGCAGUGGGGAAUAUUGGACAAUGGGCGCAAGCCUGAUCCAGCCAUACCGCGUGGGUGAAGAAGGCCUUCGGGUUGUAAAGCCCUUUUGUUGGGAAAGAAAAGCAGCAGGUUAAUACCCCGCCGUUCUGACGGUACCCAAAGAAUAAGUACCGGCUAACUUCGUG
rnacentral:rRNA from 1 species